CCCUUUAUUUCAAGAUGAAAUUCUCAGGGUUAUUUAUGAACAGAAGGGAAAAAUACAGUGAGGAACCACAAAAGAAAAAGAGAUUUCAGAUGUAGAGCCCAUCCCUUAAUUUAGCUGUGGGGAGUGGGCAGUCACUAAUGUUGGGGGGAAGGAGAAUCUUUGAAGGGGAGUGGGCACAAAUAAAAAUGUUUACAAAUCACAAUUUAGGAUCACAGCCACAAGAACCUGAAAAUAAGAAGUGCUCCUGUGUCAUGUGUUUUCCAAAAGGUGUGCCAAGAAGCCAAGAAGCAAGGACUGAAAGUAGUCAAGCAUCUGACAUGAUGGAUACCAUGGAUGUUGAAAACAAUUCUACUUUGGAAAAACACAGUGGGAAAAGAAACGGAGUCUUGCUCCGUGGCCCAGACUGAAAGUGCAGUGGUGUCAUCACAGCUCACUGCAAUCUCCUUCCAGGUUCAAGCAAUUGUCCUGCCUCAGACUCCCAAGUAGCAGGGACUACAGGAAAAAAGAGAAGGCAUAGAUCUAAAGUAAAUGGUCUCCAAAGAGGGAGAAAGAAAGACAGACCUAGAAAACAUUUAACUCUGAAUAACAAAGUCCAAAAGAAAAGA
rnacentral:lncRNA from 10 species